GAACGGGUGAGUAAUAUAUCGGAACGUACCCAAGAGUGGGGGAUAACGUAGCGAAAGUUACGCUAAUACCGCAUACGAUCUAAGGAUGAAAGCAGGGGACCGCAAGGCCUUGUGCUCCUGGAGCGGCCGAUAUCUGAUUAGCUAGUUGGUGAGGUAAAGGCUCACCAAGGCGACGAUCAGUAGCUGGUCUGAGAGGACGACCAGCCACACUGGAACUGAGACACGGUCCAGACUCCUACGGGAGGCAGCAGUGGGGAAUUUUGGACAAUGGGCGCAAGCCUGAUCCAGCAAUGCCGCGUGAGUGAAGAAGGCCUUCGGGUUGUAAAGCUCUUUUGUCAGGGAAGAAACGGGCGUGGCUAAUAUCCGCGCCUAAUGACGGUACCUGAAGAAUAAGCACCGGCUAACUACGUGCCAGCAGCCGCGGUAAUACGUAGGGUGCAAGCGUUAAUCGGAAUUACUGGGCGUAAAGCGUGCGCAGGCGGUUUUGUAAGUCUGUCGUGAAAUCCCCGGGCUCAACCUGGGAAUUGCGAUGGAGACUGCAAGGCUAGAAUCUGGCAGAGGGGGGUAGAAUUCCACGUGUAGCAGUGAAAUGCGUAGAGAUGUGGAGGAACACCGAUGGCGAAGGCAGCCCCCUGGGUCAAGAUUGACGCUCAUGCACGAAAGCGUGGGG
rnacentral:rRNA from 1 species